GACUGAUCCAUCAUUGAAUGGUUGAUCAUGUGAAUGAAGUGUUUUUGAUUGUCUUUGUAGUUGUAUUUUGGAAAUUCUGCAAGGGUGAUGAGUCGUAACUGGUGAAAUGUGACAAAGCCCUCAACUCCUUAUGAAGCAACAGAUAUCAUUUGGUAGGAGUUGAAUUGCGCAUGCAUGGGGAUUAUUUGCUUUGCUCCAGAUAAAAUUUUGGUGAAUAAGAGAUUCCAUUCCUUUGGCUAAGGAGUUGGAUUUUGACUCAAUUGUUAGCAGUUUGGUAAUUUUAUGGCAUGCUUGGAUUGUUAGCAGUUCGGUAAUUGUAAGGUCUCUUGGCUCUGGUGCAGUUUGGAGUCUGGUCUGAAGUUUCCCAUUACUGCUUAAGUUGUUAGUUGUUGGUUGUUUCUCAUCAAUGAAUACGGGUAUUCUAUUUGAUUUGUUUAGAAGGAAUUAAUGUCAACCGUGAAAUGAGUGUCACCAUGCUACUGGCUUCACAUUUAGUAACCAGGUCUAUUUUUCCUCGAGGAUUUUUCAAUAAAUUAUCAUGUCAGGUGUGGAUGGUACGGAAAAAUGUAGUUUCUACGGUUGAUGCUCUGUAAUAAUUCAUGUAAUUUGUGACAUAACUUUGAAGACAGUUGUCCUCUGAGAUUCACAUUCUCUUCAUGCUACUACUCUUUUCUCUUAUUAUCGACAAGAAAUUCUGAACAAUGGUAACUGGUUGCACAAGUGUAGUCCAAUUGUUGUUGCCAUUUCAUGGGUUCCACACUGCAGCUUAAUUAGGAACUAAUAUGGGUAACUUUCUCUCAUGAUAUAGCGCCCUCUUAUGUUUGGGAUUCACUGGAUUU